CCUCCUCUGACACCUUCAUGUUUCUGUCCUACCAUCCAGGUAGUCGCAAAGUAAAUUUUCGAAUCAACUUAUCAAUGGAUAAAUCCAUUAUCUAUGGAUGU